AAUCAACGCUGGCGGCGUGCCUCAGACAUGCAAGUCGAACGAUUAAAGCUCUCUUCGGAGAGUGCAUAGAGUGGCGCACGGGUGAGUAACACGUAAGUAAUCUACCUUCGAGUGGGGAAUAACGUCCGGAACGGACGCUAAUACCGCAUAACGCAGCGGCAUCGCAAGAUGACAGUUGUUAAAGAUUUAUCGCUUGAAGAGGAGCUUGCGGCAGAUUAGCUUGUUGG
rnacentral:rRNA from 1 species